CAGCAUUCCUUGUCCUAGCUGGAUCUAAACCCCAGAGGGACAACUGAGGAAUUACUGCAGAAAGUAUUUUAAUUUAGCUGCAAAGACAGGCUUGUUGAGACAACUACAAAUGGUUACUCCCCUGAAGUGCCUCCUGCCUUGUCAGCCCUCCCUGCCCAGAAGAAACCCAGGUGUGAUCCUGGCUCUUCCCUGAUAACCUUCUUCAUGACAGAAACUGUGAUUAUAUUUCAUUUAUUCUUUCCAUACUUCAUUGGCCUUCACACAUUACAAAACACAGUCACUGAAGUGUGACUAACUUAUUGAGGGCAUCAAAAAUUAUUAAAAUGCACAAGGCUUGAUGCUGACAUUAUUAAUCCAAUUUCUUGUGGAUGAAGGAAGAAGCAAAAUUUGAGUAAGUGGUGAGCAUUCAUCCUGCCCUCAUAACCCAAUGGUCUUUGUGCACAGUUCCUCACCAUUCCUGGAGAAGUGAAGUUGUACU